GCCGGGUGUGGUGGCACUCACCUGUAGUCCCAGCUACUUGGGAGGCUGAGGCAGGAGAAUCGCUUGAACCUGGGAGGCGGAGGUUCAGUGAGCUGAGACUGUGCCAUUGCACUCCAGCCUGGCAACAGAAUGAGACUCUGUCUCAAAAAAAAAAAAAAAAGAAGAAGAAGAAAAGAAUUAAUAUGUGAAUAAAAAAUUUUUUUUUUGAGACGAGUCUCGCUCUGUCUCCCAGGCUGGGGUGCAGUGGCCAGAUCUCCGCUCACUGCAACCUCCGCCUCCCGGGUUUACGCCAUUCUCCUGCCUCAG
rnacentral:SRP_RNA from 1 species